AUUGAACGCUAGCGGCAUGCCUUACACAUGCAAGUCGAGCGGAGUGGCGAACGGGUGAGUAAUGUAUCGGAACGUGCCAAGUAGCGGGGGAUAACUACGAGAAAGCGUAGCUAAUACCGCAUACUAUUGGAGCAGCCGAUGUCGGAUUAGCUAGUUGGUGGGGUAACGGCUGACCAAGGCGACGAUCCGUAACUGGUCUGAGAGGAAGACCAGCCAAUCUGGAACUUAGACACGGCCCAGACUCAUACGGUAGGCAGUAGUGGGGAAUGUUGGACAAGGGUCGAAAGCCUGAUCAAGCCAUCCCGCGUGUGCGAUGAAGGCCUUCGGAUGGUAAAUCACUUUAGGCAGGGAAGCGGUACACGCAGAAUAAGCACCGGCUAACUACGUGCCAGCAGCCGCGGUAAUUC
rnacentral:rRNA from 1 species